rnacentral:sRNA from 1 species
AAAAGGCGGCAGGAGAAAAAAA